GACGAACGCUGGCGGCGUGCUUAACACAUGCAAGUCGAACGCUGAAGCCCUUUCGGGGGUGGAUGAGUGGCGAACGGGUGAGUAACACGUGGGUAAUCUGCCCUGUACUUCGGGAUAAGCCUUGGAAACGGGGUCUAAUACCGGAUAGGACCUGUCCUCGCAUGGGGGUGGGUGGAAAGUUCCGGCGGUAUGGGAUGAGCCCGCGGCCUAUCAGCUUGUUGGUGGGGUAGUGGCCUACCAAGGCGACGACGGGUAGCCGGCCUGAGAGGGUGACCGGUCACACUGGGACUGAGACACGGGCCAGACUCCUACGGGAGGCAGCAGUGGGGAAUCUUGCGCAACGGGCGAAAGCCUGACGCAGCAACGCCGCGUGGGGGAUGACGGCCUUCGGGUUGUAAUCCUCUUUCGACAUCGACGAAGGGGCCCUGUUGUGGGGUUUUGACGGUAGGUGUAGAAGAAGCACCGGCUAACUACGUGCCAGCCGCCGCGAUAA
rnacentral:rRNA from 1 species